AGAUAAAGUUUUGAUUAAUCUUACAAGACACUUCGCCAAUUUUAUCAAAGAAAGCGUUCAAAAACGUGACAUAUUAUGUCCAUUGGUCGAUGACUUUUGUACAGAAAAAACUGAAUCACCAGGUUACAAUGAAUUUUAUAAGUCCAUCUUAAACAUUAAUGGAGUGACACCAUUUAUAUGAAAUAAUAAAAUUACGUUUGAGUUUGAAUAUUUUGUUUACUCAUAUUAAGAUAAAUAUAAACUAAAUUCUAUAAUACAACAUUAUAUCACAUUGUAUAAUAUUUUCAUGUUUUUAAUUAUUAUAAUUCCUAAUAAAAUUAAUGUGAUGUUUUCGGAAAAAAUUAAUUCAACUUUAUUGUA